GCAAAGUCAACUCAUUGCCAGUCGACGAGUUUGGUGAUUGAGAUCAAACAUAUAACCGAAAUAUCAAAAAAUCCUACGACAAAUAUAUUAACAAGCUUUAGAACUGCACUGUUAAAAAAAGCCACAAUGAUAAAAUCUACAAUUUUAACGGUAUAUACCGAUAAUUCACAUACAUUAUAUGAAGAUAUAGACGAAGUACUAGUUCAUGGCAUAAUCACAUUGGACUCUAUUGAUUAUGUCAAAUUUGUACUAAAACAGAUAAGUAAUAAACCCGAAAUUGAAAUUAUAAAACAUGAUGUGCAUGCUAUAAUGGAAAAAAUAUGUUCUUUGUGCGAUGAGAAUGAUGUUAAUUUUAAGUUAAUUUUUAUUAUUGGUCACAAUUUACCUUACUUGUCUUGUAAAUCUUUUGAGAAUAAUAUUGCUAAAAUGAUUGACAAAAUUGUUGAUACACAAAAUGUUACAAAAUAUGCGCCAAUUAUAAAAAAAUUAAAGCGCAACUAGAGAAUAAACAUCGUCGAGUUAUAUGUGGAAUACGAAAGAAUACGCUAAUCGUUAAUUUAUUUGACUUACGCGAAGAAAGUUUAACAUGCCACAAUAUAAUUGUAAAAACAUUACAACAGCAAAUAAAUUUAAAGAUAGAAUUGAAGAAUAGAUGUGAAACAAAGCUUAAAAGGCAACAAAAUGUUGCAAAAUUAACCAACACAUUAAUUUCAAAAAUUAUUCCUAC